rnacentral:rRNA from 1 species
CCCAGUAACGGCGAGUGAAGCGGCAAUCAGCUCAAAUUUGAAAUCUGGUCCCUCAGGGCCCGAGUUGUAAUUUGUAGAGGAUGCUUUUGGCGAGGUGCCUUCCGAGUUCCCUGGAACGGGACGCCAUAGAGGGUGAGAGCCCCGUCUGGUUGGAUACCAAGCCUCUGUAAAGCUCCUUCGACGAGUCGAGUAGUUUGGGAAUGCUGCUCUAAAUGGGAGGUAUAUGUCUUCUAAAGCUAAAUACCGGCCAGAGACCGAUAGCGCACAAGUAGAGUGAUCGAAAGAUGAAAAGCACUUUGAAAAGAGGGUUAAAUAGUACGUGAAAUUGUUGAAAGGGAAGCGUUUGUGACCAGACUUGGGCCCGGUUAAUCAUCCAGCGUUCUCGCUGGUGCACUUUGCCGGCCCAGGCCAGCAUCAGUUCGCGCCGGGGGAUAAAGGCUUCGGGAAUGUGGCUCCUCCGGGAGUGUUAUAGCCCGCUGCGUAAUACCCUGGUGCGGACUGAGGUUCGCGCUCCGCAAGGAUGCUGGCGUAAUGGUCAUCAGCGACCCGUCUUGAAACACGGACCAAGGAGUCGUCUUCGUAUGCGAGUGUUCGGGUGUCAAACCCCUACGCGUAAUGAAAGUGAACGUAGGUGAGAGCUUCGGCGCAUCAUCGACCGAUCCUGAUGUUCUCGGAUGGAUUUGAGUAAGAGCAUACGGGGCCGGACCCGAAAGAAGGUGAACUAUGCCUGUAUAGGGUGAAGCCAGAGGAAACUCUGGUGGAGGCUCGCAGCGGUUCUGACGUGCAA